rnacentral:rRNA from 1 species
UACAGAGGUCUCAAGCGUUGUUCGGAUUCAUUGGGCGUAAAGGGCUCGUAGGCGGCCAACUAAGUCGGAUGUGAAAUCCCCAGGCUUAACCUGGGAACUGCAUCCGAUACUGGAUGGCUUGAAUCCGGGAGAGGGAUGCAGAAUUCCAGGUGUAGCGGUGAAAUGCGUAGAUAUCUGGAGGAAUACCGGUGGCGAAGGCGGCAUCCUGGACCGGCAUUGACGCUGAUGAGCGAAAGCCAGGGGAGCAAACGGG